rnacentral:tRNA from 1 species
GGCUGGAUAGCUCAGAUAGUAGAGCACGCGUCUCAUAAACGCGCGGUCGCCGGUGCGAGUCCGGCUCCAGCCA